GCAGUGGUGGUUCUAUGGUAGAAUUCUUGCCUUCUGUGCAGGAGGCCUGGGUUCAAUUCCUAUCCAAUGCA
rnacentral:tRNA from 1 species